rnacentral:rRNA from 1 species
CCUACGGGAGGCAGCAGUAGGGAAUAUUGCUCAAUGGGCGAAACCCUGAAGCAGCAACGCCGCGUGGAGGAUGAAGGUUUUCGGAUUGUAAACUCCUUUUGUUAGAGAAGAUAAUGACGGUAUGUAACGAAUAAGCACCGGCUAACUCCGUGCCAGCAGCCGCGGUAAUACGGAGGGUGCAAGCGUUACUCGGAAUCACUGGGCGUAAAGAGCGCGUAGGCGGGAUAGCAAGUCAGAUGUGAAAUCCUAUGGCUUAACCAUAGAACUGCAUUUGAAACUGUUAUUCUAGAGUAUGGGAGAGGUAGGUGGAAUUCUAGGUGUAGGGGUAAAAUCCGUAGAGAUCAAGAGGAAUACUCAUUGCGAAGGCGACCUGCUGGAUCAUAACUGACGCUGAUGCGCGAAAGCGUGGGGAGCAAACAGGAUUAGAUACCCGUGUAGUC